CAGAUUGAUUGAAAAGGUUUCAUCAAAACGUGACACUAAGGGCAUUCACAAAAAGGUAGAUAAACAAAAACAAGAACAACAAGCACAAGAGGCAGUAAAAAAGGCAGAACAACAGUGGAAAUCAAAAUUAAUUGAAGUUAAAGACUGGCUCAAUAAGUUGCUGCAGCAAAUUUCUGACAACCAA